GGAUGUGAGGGCCAUCUGGCUGCAACAUCUGUCACCCCAUUGAUCGCCAGGGUUGAUUCAGAUGAUCUGGCUGGCUAGGCGGGUGUCCCCUUCCUCCCUCACUGCUCCUGAAGCUGUGUGCUCGGUGGAAGAGGAUGACGUCCCAGGUAUAGAAGGAGUGUACCGAAGUCUCCAGUCUUCGGUCCGGGUAUACGAUAGCUGUGCUCCCCUGCUAGAACCUCCAAACAAGCAGUAAUGCUAUGUAGUAAUUACUAUAUUUACAAAUUUACCACCAAAAUAUCACAAUGAAUUU
rnacentral:snRNA from 1 species